CCUACGGGAGGCUGCAGUGGGGAAUAUUGGACAAUGGGGGGAACCCUGAUCCAGACAUGCCGCGUGUGUGAAGAAGGCCCUCGGGUUGUAAAGCACUUUCAGUGAGGAAGAACGCCUGGUGGUUAAUACCCAUCAGGAAAGACAUCACUCACAGAAGAAGCACCGGCUAACUCCGUGCCAGCAGCCGCGGUAAUACGGAGGGUGCGAGCGUUAAUCGGAAUUACUGGGCGUAAAGCGCGCGUAGGUGGCUUGAUAAGCCGGUUGUGAAAGCCCCGGGCUCAACCUGGGAACGGCAUCCGGAACUGUCAAGCUAGAGUGCAGGAGAGGAAGGUAGAAUUCCCGGUGUAGCGGUGAAAUGCGUAGAGAUCGGGAGGAAUACCAGUGGCGAAGGCGGCCUUCUGGACUGACACUGACACUGAGGUGCGAAAGCGUGGGUAGCAAACAGGAUUAGAUACCCCUGUAGUC
rnacentral:rRNA from 1 species